rnacentral:tRNA from 1 species
GUACAUAAAGGUUUUGAAAACCUUUCUUGGUUAAAAUUUAUAACCACCU